rnacentral:lncRNA from 1 species
AGAGGAUCAUAACAGCCAAAAUAAUAAUGUAUUUGAUGUUUUUCUCCAGAAUUACAAGAAACAAUUAUAUCACGCACUCGUUCAUUAGUAGAAGAAUCAUUAUCAACCCAAAGAGCAGCAACUUGAGAUGCACAUGGUGUAUUAUAUACUCUUUGAUCUAAUCCACAAUCAGAUCUAAUUUUAAGACAAUGAGAUUUCAAAUCUGGAAUAUUUGUUAAAGUUCGAAAGAAAAUUGCGUACGGAUUCAAUUCCAUUAGUUUCACAAGCUUUGAAAGUAUACACUUUGUUAACUUAUCAGAAAGUUGUAGUCGAUGCUCUAUUUCAUUUUCAGUAUCAAAAAAAUAGAGCUGCAUAUAAGAAGGGCGAUCGUUUUGUACAAGAGUAUCAUUUAUGAAAUGAUAUAUUUGACCUUGAAUUCUAAAAGUAUAAAUUCCUUUGUUUCUUUUGCACAAAUUUUUAUCAUAAUGCACACCAAAUGAAGUAAAUGAGAAAUUGUUAUUGUAAGUUCGUACGUAAGUUUUAAACUCAAUGGAUUCAACAGUAUUUGAUGUAAAUAGAUGAUGUAAUUCAUCAGGAGUAUCAUUCGCUUUCAAUCUAACAACUCCAUCACUACAACAAAAACCUUUUGGUUCAUCUUUAAAUUUUAGAGCCCCACAGUAUUCACAUAACACAGGGCAAGGUAAUACAUGUGAUUUGUUUGGUAUCGAAAACAAACCUUCAUUUAUUGUAAACAUUGAUGGUAUUAGCUCUGAGUGAA